GCAUGUUCUCGUUAGAUCACCGAAGUCAAGCAUCAUUGGGCGCGGUCAGUACUUGGGUGGGUGACCACCUGGGAGCGCCGCGUGCCGUU